rnacentral:rRNA from 1 species
AUUGUGUCCUUUACUGNAUUGUAAUGUACGAUAGAUGUUGAGCAACCUGUUAAGUGAGAAUUGCUGUCUGUCAUUAAGUUGAUGGGUAGUAGGUCUUGCCUCGUUUACUGUGAAAAAAUUAGAGUGUUUCAAGCAGACUGUAUGGUCAUUGAAUACAUUAGCAUGGAAUAAUAAGAUAUGACCUAGGUGUUUUAUUUUGUUGGUUGUACGCCGAGGUAAUGAUUAAUAGGGACAGUUGGGGGUAUUCAUAUUUUAGCGUCAGAGGUGAAAUUCUUGGAUCGCUGAAAGAUGAGCUUAGGCGAAAGCAUUUACCAAGGAUGUUUUCAUUAAUCAAGAACGAAAGUUAGGGGAUCGAAGAUGAUUAGAUACCAUCGUAGUCUUAACCAUAAAC